GCUUGCAGAUCUAGCCCAGACUUUCCGUGGUGUUCCAAUCCUUUCAUGGCAUGGACCAAAGUGGUCUGUUGACAAUGUUAUUGACCCUUCAUUUGGGCUUGCAAAUCAGUCACUGUCUUAUUCCUCAUAAGCAGGGCCGGUGCAAAGAUAUCUGCCGCCCUAGGCAAAGAUACAUUUUGCCGCCCCUCAUGUCGUUAACUCACUGACGGACACACACACACACUCACUGACUGACAUACAUACACUCACUCACAGACACUUACUGACAUACAUACACACACAGACACUCACUGACAGACAUACUCACUGACAAACACACACACACGGUGUGAGGGCAGCCUCUCACUCCUCCAGCGUGCCGUUUAGUAUGCCAGGGCUGGAAUUAUGUCAUAUUCCGGCUCCCGGCAUUACAGAGGAUGCGCGAGGGAGGAGUGAGAGGCUACAAGAACAGCCUCCCUCACCGUCUUCCUGCUCCGUCCCUUCUCGUCCGGGCACCGGCAUUUUUUGGCAGAGCAGGCACCGGUCAUCAAGGUAAGCAGGUGCCUGGUUCGGGGGUGCCCUGACAUGGCCAGAUGGCCACCUCCUGGCCUACCCUGUGACAGGGAUCCUCUCGGCACCCCCACCAUCGGGCACCUUGAGGAUCAGCCCGGCGCUGGGGGCAGCUCAAGAGCUGCUCCCCCCAGUGCUGUGGCCCCAGACAGGCCGGCGCCCUAGGCGAAUGCCUAGUUCAUGCUCAUAAGUAACAUUACUGACCAAGUAGUCUUACAGGAAAUCAAUCUUCA